CCGCGGUUAGACGAGAGGCCCUAGUUGAUAUUUUAACGGCGUAAAGGGUGGUUAAGGGUAAAUAAAAAUAAAGCCAAAUGGCCCCUCGGCCGCCAUACGCUUCUAGGUGUCCGAAGCCCUAACACGAAAGUAGCUUUAAUAAAUUAGCCUGAACCCACGAAAGCUGAGAAACAAACUGGGAUUAGAUACCCCACUAUGCUCAGCCGUAAACUUAGACAUCCAACUACAAUUAGAUGUCCGCCAGGGUACUACGAGCAUUAGCUUAAAACCCAAAGGACUUGACGGUGUCUCAGAUCCCCCUAGAGGAGCCUGUUCUAGAACCGAUAACCCCCGUUUAACCUCACCACUCCUAGCCAUCCCAGCCUAUAUACCGCCGUCGUCAGCUUACCCUGUGAAGGGUACAAAAGUAAGCAAAAUGGGCACAGCCCAGAACGUCAGGUCGAGGUGUAGCGCAUGAAGUGGAAAGAAAUGGGCUACAUUUUCUAACACAGAAUAUUACGAACAUGUACCAUGAAAUAGUGCUUGAAGGAGGAUUUAGUAGUAAAGGGGAAAUAGAGUGUCCCUUUGAACCCGGCUCUGAGACGCGUACACACCGCCCGUCACUCUCCCCUGUCAAAACGCAUUAAAAAUACUUAAUACAAAAGCACUGACAAGGGGAGGCAAGUCUUAACACG
rnacentral:rRNA from 1 species